GGCAAAAUCUCAUUUGAAGAGAAAAAGAAAGAACAGACUUCGCCACUCAGCUCCACAUAUUCAUUCCCUUUCUAUCCAUGGCUGCACUCUUUUCUUGCACCUCUCUCCAUUCUUUCUCUUCUCUUUUUCCUUCUUCUUCCUCUUCUUCGUUUCCAAUCACUCAUUUUCUGCCACAGUUACUUCCAACAAAACCAGAAAUCCUCUCUCCUUCCCGUUUCAGCUGUAGCCAUAGAUUACUCCUUCACCCUCCCACCAAUCUCAUUCUCCACCCUUUUUUCUUGCUCAGUGGCUUCGAAAGGCCUUUGGAUACUCAAACUGCCCUCGCCACCGUAAGCGUCUUCGCUGCCAUUGUUCUUUCUCUCUUCCUGGGCCUAAAGGUAAUAAUUGCCUAUUUCCUUUCCCUUGGUUAUCUGAAACUUUAGAUUUUCAAGUUUUACCAUUCUGGGUUUUGCAGGGUGAUCCUGUUCCUUGUGAUCGGUGCGCGGGAAAUGGUAAUCUCUCUUCUAGUUUCGGUAUUGUUGUGAAAGCUGAAUUGGGUGAAAUUGGAAACUUUCCAGUACAUUGUUUCUAAAUUUUUAAUGUGAAGGUUUGACACAAUGAAACUAAGUGAAGAAUCUUGCAAUUAAGGUAAAAACUAGAAACUGGUGUUCAGAAUUUUUGUAUACGUGAUCAUGAAGGUGUUAUUAUGUGGUAUACCAUAAGAUUAAAAUGAGUUGGAACAAUGAAUAAGAAUUAAUUUCAUCUAUGUGAUAUUAAAUAUUAAAUUAAUUGGUUAACUUGAAGGACUUUUUUCCCCUUCUGCUUAGAUCAUGUAUAAUGAAGUGUAGUUCCUGUUGUAUUUUCUUAAUUUAAACCUGCUCCGAUUAUCUAGAAUGCUUGUACUAGAAAAAUCCAGCUUAAGAUGAUUGCUAGAUGCUGUUAAAGGUGUAUAACUAGCACUUUUACAGGAUCUGAUUCGCUUAACCCCAGUUUUGCAUUUGAUCAAAAUUUUAUCGCGGGAUAGUAUGCAAUUCCAUUUUGCAUGCUACUAAAAAUAAUAUGACUUCGGCUGCUGGACUAGUUUUGUGAUUUCUUAAUACAUUGCAAUCAUGUAUUAGUAAAAAUUGGUACUAUUAAUUGCUAACAUCAUCUACCUUGAUGUUCAUAAACUGAUUGUUUUCUUAGCACUUAACCUUUUCAAGAUUUUGCCAAACUUUUAUUUGAGCAGGUUGUGCCAAAUUCUUGCAUGACCUCAAGAGGGUAUGGCAGAUGCUAGAUAUUGAAUCUCUAUGAUAGGAUUUAAGAUCUACAUUCUUUUCCUAGACUCUCUUUCUUUCUGGGGCUGCAGGGUGGGGUGAGUGGAAGUGGAAGGAGAAUAAAUGUUGCUUACAUGCUUAUAUAUUUUCAUUAUUGCAGCUCAGUGACCAAAUAUUAAUAGUGGAGUCUCCCAUAGAUAACUUAGUAGUCUGACUCGUGUUGCUUCCUGAAUGUAAAUGCACUAUUUGAGUCUUAAUUAUUACUGAGAUAACUCAGACUGUACCAUUAAAAUGUUUUGUGUAUAAAUUGGCCUUCCUGUUAUCAGAAUUUCAACUUGCUUUAAAUUUUAUUGGGAUAUGCCAUUUUCACUCAUCAGAACCAUUCAUUACUAUUUACUAUAUGAUGUUGAGUAGAAACAGCUGGUUGUAACCGUACUUUAUGAUGAUAGGUGGCACAAAAUGUGUGUUUUGCAAUGAUGGCAAGAUGAAGCAGGAAACUGGCUUGAUAGAUUGUAGAGUGUGCAAAGGUGCAGGUAUUAUAUCCAAGUUCAAAUAUUUUAAGAAACAGUUGUGAGCACAGAGGGUGCAUUUGAUGCUUGAUAAUGAUUGAUUUACUAAAAUGAACUUUAUGUGACAUUUAUAAUCAGUUUAUUCUUCCUACAGUAAUUUUUAACAACUCUUUGUUUUUGCUUUUUUAAAACAAGUUUAUACAAUAUACGAUCACUUGCCUAUUUUCUGUUGUGAUUGCCAUUUUGGUGAUUUAUUAGAAGUUAAUUUUGCAUGGCUAGGUCCUGCAUUCAUAUCCAUUGAUCAAAAUGAAAUAAUUUCCACUCUGUUUGUGGAUUCUUUAAAAAAAAUAAAAAUCUUGCAAGUGCCUAUUAAUUAGUCCUUGAUCUUAUGUUAGUUAUAAGUGAUUUCUCAGUUUAUGUUCUAAAUUCUCUGCCCCAGGACAUUGUAAUGUGAAGUAUUUGAAAUUAUCUAUGCUUUCCGUCUCCUCCCAUUUCCAAAUUUAAAUCUUAUUCUGUCUCUGUAGGAUUGAUACUCUGCAGGAAGUGCGGAGGUUCCGGAUAUUCCAGACGCCUAUGAGCUUGAGUUCAGCACAUAUUUUUGACCCAUAAGACAAAUUUACUGAGGCUUCAAUUCUUUUCACCAGGUCCUUGCCUUGUUUUCCCCCUUUAUAUUCUGUAAAUUAUAUCCCUUCUCUUUUAUCCAAUUUCUUGUGUAAUUAUAGUUAAGUGUGAAUGACAGAAAUGUAAGACUGACUCUAAUGCAACUUUUAUUCCCAUUUAACAUCAAUUCAAUUUUUAAAGCCAA
rnacentral:misc_RNA from 1 species